CCUACGGGAGGCAGCAGUGAGGAAUAUUGGUCAAUGGACGAGAGUCUGAACCAGCCCAGUAGCGUGAAGGAUGACUGCCCUAUGGGUUGUAAACUUCUUUUAUAUGGGAAUAAAAUGUUCCACGUGUGGGAUUUUGUAUGUACCAUAUGAAUAAGGAUCGGCUAACUCCGUGCCAGCAGCCGCGGUAAGACGGAGGAUCCGAGCGUUAUCCGGAUUUAUUGGGUUUAAAGGGAGCGUAGGUGGAUUGUUAAGGCAGUUGUGAAAGUUUGCGGCUCAACCGUAGAAUUGCAGUUGAAACUGGCAGUCUGGAGUACAGUAGAGGUGGGCGGAAUUCGUGGUGUAGCGGUGAAAUGCUUAGAUAUCACGAAGAACUCCGAUUGCGAAGGCAGCUCACUGGACUGCAACUGACACUGAGGCUCGAAAGUGUGGGUAUCAAACAGGAUUAGAUACCCUUGUAGUC
rnacentral:rRNA from 1 species